UACGAAGGGGCGAGCGUUGUUCGGAAUUACUGGGCGUAAAGGGCGCGUAGGCGGCGACUCUAGUCAGAUGUGAAAGUCCUGGGCUUAACCUGGGGACUGCAUUUGAUACUGGGUUGCUUGAAUUCGGGAGAGGAUAGCGGAAUUCCCAGUGUAGAGGUGAAAUUCGUAGAUAUUGGGAAGAACACCGGUGGCGAAGGCGGCUAUCUGGACCGACAUUGACGCUGAGGCGCGAAAGCGUGGGGAGCAAACAGG
rnacentral:rRNA from 1 species